AUAUAACGGCAAAGCAGCAGUAAUGCUGUGACGCAAAGCUAUAGGGUCUUUUAUUAAGAUAGCCAGUUGC
rnacentral:ncRNA from 1 species